UGUGAUUAUGGACUAGCAGGCUG
rnacentral:misc_RNA from 1 species